ensembl:lncRNA
AGUUUGGAACAUGUUGUAGGCCUACUUGUUGAUUAGCUCACGUUGUUAUGAAAACGCCCUCAGCUGAUAAAAUAAUGCCAGCGUUUUUUUAAACUGAAAAUUAGCACCCAUUUCAACUUUUUCUGCUCCUUGCGCCUUAUCAUGCUUAUCAUGCUACGCACCAUUACAAGCCUCUGCCGACUAAAACAUGAAGCAAUUCAAGAAGAGGCAUAAAUAGAAUCACCUUGUGGUCAACUGGCAUUAUAUAGACAUCUGACAGAUUAUGUCAAGGUUUUAAAAUGAAUUAUUACCUGAGCAUGUUAUAACACAGCUGGAAGUCAUGGAUUUUCUGAUAAAGACUAGUUAGCCUCUUUGACAGACGAAGUAGCAGAACCUAUGUUAGGUGCGCUCGUGCUGCAUUUUUGUUUUUUUCAAACAGGAGACACCCACCAACCAAUCAGAGAAGCACUUCCUACACCCGCAGGAAGUGGCUGGUAGAGAGCAGCGCACCAAUCAUGGAACACUCCUCCACCUAGCUGAAUCCUUGUUGCCUAGCGACUGUCCUGGCUGUCACUCAACCUCCUGAAGGCCGGAAAAGCCCCAAAAAAAGUUUUGCGGUGGUGUCAGUUUGCACACUCAUUCUACUGCUCCUUCUCAGGGAACUGUCGAAAUAUAACUGAAGAGUUAGAAAAGUCGAAAAUAAACGAAAGCCCUUAAAUCUACUCCCACACACAUGAUAUUAUGAUACUACUAUAAUCCUCUGUCUGUAUGUUAUGAUGAGCUACAUCCUACUCACCUCUGUCAUCCUACUCUCCUCCAGAUGUGCAAUCUAGUCUGUAAUCUGGAUUGAGGCUAUAAUCCCUACUGAGGCUAUAAUCCGGAUUGAGGCUGUAAUCUGUACUGAGGCUGUUAUCUGGAUGAGGCUGUAAUCUAUACUGAGGUUGUUAUCUGAAUUGAGGCUGUUUUCUUUACUGAGGCCGAAAUCUGGAAUGAGGCUGUAAUCUGGAUUGAGGCUGUAAUCUGGAUUGAGGCUGUAAUCUGGAUUGAGGCUGUAAUCUGGAUUGAGGCUGUUAUCUGGAUGAGGCUGUAAUCUAUACUGAGGCUGUAAUCUGGAUUGAGGCUGUAAUCUGUACUGAGGCUGUAAUCUGGAUCAAUGAUGUAAUCUGGAUUGAGGCUGUAAUCUGUACUGAGGCUGUAAUAUGGAUUGAUGGUGUAAUCUGGAUUGAGGCUGUAAUCUGUACUGAGGCUGUAAUAUAGAUUGAUGCUGUAAUCCUGAUUGAGGCUGUAAUCUGUACUGAGGCUGUAAAAUGUACCGAGGCUAUAAUCUGCACGGAGGCUGUAAUCUGCACGUUUAUCUCCUGCCAGACCCAGGUCUAUGAGGUCUAUGUUGUCAUGCUGUCUCUGUUCUGUAGGGGGCAGCAAAGAUCUCUGAUACCUUCCAUUCAGAAGGCAUCCUUGAAUGACAUGUAUCACUGCUUGUUACUACACAAGGACAUCAUCUCCCUCACCUCACCAGAACCUAGCGUCAGCAGAACCUAGCGUCAGCAGAACCUCACCUCACCUCAGCAGAACCUCCUUAACUCGCCAGAAACUCAUCUCACCAGAACCUCAUCUCCUCAGAACCUACCUCUUCAUAACAGACUUGCCUCACCUCACUAAAGCCUCACCAUACCAGAACAUCUCCUCACCUCUACAGAACCUCACUACAACAGAACCUCACUUUACCAGAACCUACUCUCACCGGAACCUCCACCCUGACCAAGUGAGCUGCGGCAGCAGUAUUAUAGCAUGUGUGUCCGGACACUAGGACCCAGGAGCUGGUUUUGUGUUCCACUGGAAACCCGUGUCAUUCAUUGAGUCAAACCAACAAGACUCACUUCUAAACUAAAUUUGCGAACCAGAGAUAAACGGAUCUGCUGUGAUCUCUGAGUGAAAAGUUUCCAUGGUGUUUUGCCUGAAUGUUCCGGAGAUAUUCCUGGACCAUGGCUGUGUGUGGACAUAAAGGGAACUUUGUGUCGCACUGUGGACACACCGCAUUAGGGAGAAAUAUUAAAUUUGGAGGAAAUUUACAAAUGAAUCAUACAUAUUUAUGCCACGGUCUGCGGGAAUACUCGAUUCUGAUUGGAUGCAGGGUGUGCAUUAACUCCUGAUAUACGGACACCUGGACAAGUAGUUCCGUCAAAUUGUCUGUUUACCGUUCUCAAUUAAUGCGCUAGCUGGCGUAUCGUCUCUA